rnacentral:tRNA from 1 species
CGGGAAGUAGCUCAGCUUGGUAGAGCCCUUGGUUUGGGACCAAGGGGUCGCAGGUUCGAAUCCUGUCUUCCCGA